rnacentral:rRNA from 1 species
CCUAAGGUAGCGAAAUUCCUUGUCGGGUAAGUUCCGACCUGCACGAAUGGUGUAAUGAUCGCUCCACUGUCUCCAUCCGAGGCUCAGUGAAAUUGAAAUCGCCGUGACGAUGCGGUGUUCCCGCGGCAAGACGGAAAGACCCCGUGAACCUUUACUACAACUUUGCACUGGAAUUUGAGUUUGUUUGUGUAGGAUAGGUGGGAGCCUUUGAAGCCCAGGCGCUAGCUUGAGUGGAGGCAACCUUGAAAUACCACCCUGAUAAACUUGAAUUUCUAACCUAGGCCCGUUAUCCGGGUCAGGGACAUUGCAUGGCGGGUAGUUUGACUGGGGCGGUCUCCUCCCAAAGAGUAACGGAGGAGUGCGAAGGUAACCUCAACGCGGUCGGAAAUCGCGUUUUUGAGUGCAUAGGCAUAAGGUUGCUUGACUGCGAGACAGACACGUCGAGCAGGUACGAAAGUAGGUCUAAGUGAUCCGGUGGUUCUGUAUGGAAGGGCCAUCGCUCAACGGAUAAAAGGUACUCCGGGGAUAACAGGCUGAUACUGCCCAAGAGUCCAUAUCGACGGCAGUGUUUGGCACCUCGAUGUCGGCUCAUCUCAUCCUGGGGCUGUAGCAGGUCCCAAGGGUCCGGCUGUUCGCCGGUUAAAGAGGUACGCGAGCUGGGUUCAGAACGUCGUGAGACAGUUCGGUCCCUAUCUGCCGUGGGCGUUCGAGAUUUGAGAGGAGUUGACCUUAGUACGAGAGGACCGGGUUGAACAUACCUCUGGUGUUCCAGUUGUCACGCCAGUGGCAUCGCUGGGUAGCUAUGUAUGGACGGGAUAACCGCUGAAAGCAUCUAAGCGGGAAGCCCACCUCGAGAUGAGAUCUCGCGAAUCCUAGAGAUUCCUGAAGAGCCCUUGUAGACCACAAGGUUGAUAGGCUGGGUGUGGAAGUGCAGCAAUGCAUGGAGCUAACAGAUCGGAAGAGCACACGUCUGAACUCC